CUACUAUUGGAUUUGAGCUUGC
rnacentral:siRNA from 1 species